UCCUGGCUCAGGAUGAACGCUAGCUACAGGCUUAACACAUGCAAGUCGAGGGGCAGCAUUGAGAUAGCUUGCAUUUCAGAUGGCGACCGGCGCACGGGUGAGUAACGCGUAUCCAACCUUCCCCAUAGUAGAGGAUAGCCCGGCGAAAGUCGGAUUAAUACUCUAUGUGUUCAAUGCGGACAUCUAAGUUGAACCAAAGGUUUACCGCUAUGGGAUGGGGAUGCGUCUGAUUAGGUAGUCGGCGGGGUAACGGCCCACCGAGCCAUCGAUCAGUAGGGGUUCUGAGAGGAAGGCCCCCCACAUUGGUACUGAGACACGGACCAAACUCCUACGGGAGGCAGCAGUGAGGAAUAUUGGUCAAUGGACGAGAGUCUGAACCAGCCAAGUAGCGUGCAGGAAUGACUGCCCUAUGGGUUGUAAACUGCUUUUAUGCGGGAAUAAAGUCAGGUACGUGUACCUGUUUGUAUGUACCGCAUGAAUAAGGACCGGCUAAUUCCGUGCCAGCCGCUGC
rnacentral:rRNA from 1 species